rnacentral:rRNA from 1 species
UACGUAGGGUGCAAGCGUUAAUCGGAAUUACUGGGCGUAAAGCGCACGUAGGCGGCUUUCUAAGUCGGGGGUGAAAUCCUGGAGCUCAACUCCAGAACUGCCUUCGAUACUGGAAAGCUCGAGUCCGGGAGUGGUGAGUGGAACUGCGAGUGUAGAGGUGAAAUUCGUAGAUAUUCGCAAGAACACCAGUGGCGAAGGCGGCUCACUGGCCCGGUACUGACGCUGAGGUGCGAAAGCGUGGGGAGCAAACAGG